AGAGUUUAAUCAUGGCUCAGGAUGAACGCUAGCUACAGGCUUAACACAUGCAAGUCGAGGGGAAACGACAUCGAAAGCUUGCUUUUGAUGGGCGUCGACCGGCGCACGGGUGAGUAACGCGUAUCCAACCUGCCCACCACUUGGGGAUAACCUUGCGAAAGUAAGACUAAUACCCAAUGACGUCUCUAGAAGACAUCUGAAAGGGAUUAAAGAUUUAUCGGUGAUGGAUGGGGAUGCGUCUGAUUAGCUUGUUGGCGGGGUAACGGCCACCAAGGCUACGAUCAGUAGGGGUUCUGAGAGGAAGGUCCCCACCAUUGGAACUGAGACACAGUCCAAAACUCCUACGGGAGGCA
rnacentral:rRNA from 1 species